GACAGAGGUGCCGAGCGUUAGGCGGAAUCACUGGGCUUAAAGCGUGUGUAGGCGGGUCGUUAAGUGCCUUGUGAAAUCCCACCGCUCACCGGUGGAACUGCUUGGCAUACUGGCGAUCUUGAGCCACUUAGGGGCAACCGGAACAAACGGUGGAGCGGUGAAAUUCGUAGAUAUUCGGAAGAACACCAGUGGCGAAGGCGGCUCACUGGACCGGUAUUGACGCUGAGGUGCGAAAGCGUGGGGAGCAAACAGG
rnacentral:rRNA from 1 species